rnacentral:rRNA from 1 species
AUGAACGCUAGCUACAGGCUUAACACAUGCAAGUCGAGGGGCAGCAUGUAUCUGGCUUGCCAGAUAUGAUGGCGACCGGCGCACGGGUGCGUAACGCGUGUUCAACCUCCCCCAUACUCGGGAACAGCCCAUCGAAAGAUGGAUUAAUGCCCGAUGUUGUCUUUCACCCUCCUGGGUGUGAGACCAAAGAUUCAUCGGUAUGGGAUGGGAACGCGUCCGAUUAGCUGGACGGCGGGGUAACGGCCCACCGUGGCGACGAUCGGUAGGGGUUCUGAGAGGAAGGUCCCCCCACACUGGAACUGAGACACGGUCCAGACUCCUACGGGAGGCAGCAGUGAGGAAUAUUGGUCAAUGGCCGCGAGGCUGAACCAGCCAAGUAGCGUGAAGGAUGAACCUGCCCUAUGGGUUGUAAACUUCUUUUGCAGGGGAAUAACAAGUCCCACGUGUGGGACUCUGCAUGUACCCUGCGAAUAAGCAUCGGCUAAUUCCGUGCCAGCCGCUGC